rnacentral:tmRNA from 1 species
GGGGGUGUUCUGGAUUCGACCCUUGGUCGGAGUGCACCGCUGCACGUCGAGGUUGGUGGUUACCUCGUAAAAUCCCCCGCCAAAAAAACUAAGUGGCAACUACGAAGAAAUGCCCCUGGCUGCCUAAAUAAGGCGGUCACGCGUCACCGGCGACACCUGCUAGCCGAAUGAUGCGACGACAGCAGGCAUAGCUCAUGGGGGCGUCAAUGGCCCGUGAGUUGUAUCUUCAAUCCAGCGGCUGGCCGUCAUAUUGCCCGUCCGGGAGCGUUAUGACGGUGAGAUUAAACUCGGGCUAAACGUGUAGAUGUGGUGUGCGAAGGUCAGGGGGACGCGGGUUCAAAUCCCGCCACCUCCACCA